AGCAUGUGGUUUAAUUCGAAGCAACGCGAAGAACCUUACCAGGUCUUGACAUCCCGAUGCUAUUUCUAGAGAUAGAAAGGUUACUUCGGUACAUCGGUGACAGGUGGUGCAUGGUUGUCGUCAGCUCGUGCCGUGAGAUGUUGGGUUAAGUCCCGCAACGAGCGCAACCCCUAUUGUUAGUUGCCAUCAUUCAGUUGGGCACUCUAGCGAGACUGCCGGUAAUAAACCGGAGGAAGGUGGGGAUGACGUCAAAUCAUCAUGCCCCUUAUGACCUGGGCUACACACGUGCUACAAUGGUUGGUACAACGAGUUGCGAGUCGGUGACGGCGAGCUAAUCUCUUAAAGCCAAUCUCAGUUCGGAUUGUAGGCUGCAACUCGCCUACAUGAAGUCGGAAUCGCUAGUAAUCGCGGAUCAGCACGCCGCGGUGAAUACGUUCCCGGGCCUU
rnacentral:rRNA from 1 species